rnacentral:rRNA from 1 species
CACGUAGGGUGCGAGCGUUGUCCGGAAUUAUUGGGCGUAAAGAGCUCGUAGGCGGUGUGUCGCGUCGGCCGUGAAAACCUGCAGCUUAACUGUGGGCUUGCGGUCGAUACGGGCAUCACUGGAGUUCGGCAGGGGAGACUGGAAUUCUUGGUGUAGCGGUGAAAUGCGCAGAUAUCAGGAGGAACACCGGUGGCGAAGGCGGUUCUCUGGGCAUGUCCUGACGGCUGAG